rnacentral:rRNA from 1 species
UACAGAGGUCCCGAGCGUUGUCCGGAAUUGCUGGGCGUAAAGAGCUCGUAGGCGGUGUGUCACGUCGGCCGUGAAAACCUGCAGCUUAACUGUGGGCGUGCGGUCGAUACGGGCAUCACUGGAGUUCGGCAGGGGAGACUGGAAUUCCUGGUGUAGCGGUGAAAUGCGCAGAUAUCAGGAGGAACACCGGUGGCGAAGGCGGGUCUCUGGGCCGAUACUGACGCUGAGGAGCGAAAGCGUGGGGAGCAAACAGG